GGGAGCGACUUGGCUUCGACAGGAGUAAGUCUGCUUAGAUGGCAUGUCGCUUUGGGCAAAGCGUAAAAAGCCCAAAUAAAAUUAAACGCAAACAACGUUAAAUUCGCUCCUGCUUACGCUAAAGCUGCGUAAGUUCAGUUGAGCCUGAAAUUUAAGUCAUACUAUCUAGCUUAAUUUUCGGUCACUUUUGAUAGUGUAGCCUUGCGUUUGACAAGCGUUGAGGUGAAAUAAAGUCUUAGCCUUGCUUUUGAGUUUUGGAAGAUGAGCGAAGUAGGGUGAAGUAGUCAUCUUUGCUAAGCAUGUAGAGGUCUUUGUGGGAUUAUUUUUGGACAGGGGUUCGAUUCCCCUCGCUUCCACCA
rnacentral:tmRNA from 2 species